GAGAGAAAGUGGGGGCGACACAAAGAAGAGAGAGCGCAUGAAGGAACAUCGUCAACACCCAAGCCCUCCUGACGUCCAUUAUACCCCGGCGAUAACAACGGUUGUUUCUAGGGUUUUGAGACACGGCGGCGGCUUUGAGGUACGCUGCUGAUGACGACGGUGAUGGUGGAUUCAAGGUGACAGUGAGGGUUUACAACUGAUUCGAGGUUGUUUGUGCUGCCAAGCAAGUGAAAAAGGUGAUCCAACGAAAUCAAACGACAACGAUUUCAACGCUAGAUCGGGACUUUUUCCCGUGAUACCUGUUCUUCAGAGGCAUUGCGAUAUCUGACUGGAGUUGAAGGCAUGAACUAGCAGUAGCAGAGCUUAAGAGGAAGACAUACACCAACAUGAUAUGGUAUAAAUAUGUGUUUCUUCAAUAAAACUUUUCGUUUAUGUUUCUUCAA